AGUCGGUGAUGAUUUAGAUGAUAAGAGUAGUGGACAGAAGUGAUUUCUGAGUCAUUUUACGCUGAGACU
ensembl:snoRNA